GAACUAAGCAUAUCAAUAAGCGGAGGAAAAGAAACCAACAGGGAUUGCCCUAGUAACGGCGAGUGAAGCGGCAACAGCUCAAAUUUGAAAUCUGGCCCCAGGCCCGAGUUGUAAUUUGCAGAGGAUGCUUUUGGCGCGGUGCCUUCCAAGUUCCCUGGAACGGGACGCCACAGAGGGUGAGAGCCCCGUCAGGUUGUGCAACCAAGCCUUUGUAAAGCUCCUUCGACGAGUCGAGUAGUUUGGGAAUGCUGCUCUAAAUGGGAGGUAUAUGUCUUCUAAAGCUAAAUAUAGGCCAGAGACCGAUAGCGCACAAGUAGAGUGAUCGAAAGAUGAAAAGCACUUUGAAAAGAGAGUUAAAAAGCACGUGAAAUUGUUGAAAGGGAAGCGUUCAUGACCAGACUUGGGCCCGGUUGAUCAUCCAGCGUUCUCGCUGGUGCACUCUGCCGGCCCAGGCCAGCAUCAGUUCGCUCCGGGGGACAAAGGUUCAGGGAAUGUGGCUCCCCUCGGGGAGUGUUAUAGCCCAGUUCAAAUGCCCUGGAGCGGUCUGAGGUCCGCGCAUUGCAAGGAUGCUGGCGUAAUGGUCAUCAAUGACCCGUCUUGAAACACGGACCAAGGAGUCGUCUUCGUAUGCGAGUGUUUGGGUGUCAAACCCCGGCGCGUAAUGAAAGUGAACGCAGGUGAGAGCUUCGGCGCAUCAUCGACCGAUCCUGAUGUUCUCGGAUGGAUUUGAGUAAGAGCAUACGGGGCCGGACCCGAAAGAAGGUGAACUAUGCCUGUAUAGGGUGAAGCCAGAGGAAACUCUGGUGGAGGCUCGCAGCGGUUCUGACGUGCAAAUCGAUCGUCAAACAUGGGCAUGGGGGGCGAAAGACUAAUCGAACCUUCUAGUAGCUGGUUUCCGCCGAA
rnacentral:rRNA from 1 species